AUCAACUUUCGAUGGUAGGAUAGAGGCCUACCAUGGUGGUAACGGGUAACGGGGUGUUAGGGCACGACACCGGAGAGGGAGCCUGAGAAACGGCUACCACAUCCAAGGAUGACAGCAGGCGCGCAAAUUACCCAAUCCCGACGCGGGGAGGUAGUGACAAUAAAUAACAAUACGGGGUUCUUUAGGAUCUCGUAAUUGGAAUGAGUACAAUUUAAAUCUCUUAACGAGGAACAAUUGGAGGGCAAGUCUGGUGCCAGCAGCCGCGGUAAUUCCAGCUCCAAUAGCGUAUAUUAAAGUUGUUGCAGUUAAAAAGCUCGUAGUUGAAUUUCGGGGUUAGUAGGUUGGUCAUGCCUCUGGUAUGUACUGGUCUCACUGAUUCCUCCUUCCUGAUGAACCGUAAUGCCAUUAAUUUGGUGUUGCGGGGAAUUUGGACUGUUACUUUGAAAAAAUUAGAGUGUUUAAAGCAAGCUAACGCUUGAAUACAUUAGCAUGGAAUAAUGAAAUAGGACGUUCGAUCCUAUUUUGUUGGUUUCUAGGAUUGACGUAAUGAUUAAUAGGGAUAGUUGGGGGCAUUAGUAUUCAAUUGUCAGAGGUGAAAUUCUUGGAUUUAUUGAAGACUAACUACUGCGAAAGCAUUUGCCAAGGAUGUUUUCAUUAAUCAAGAACGAAAGUUAGGGGAUCGAAGACGAUCAGAUACCGUCGUAGUCUUAACCAUAAACUAUGCCGACUAGGGAUCGGAUGAUGUUAAUUUUUUAAUGACUCAUUCGGCGCCUUACGGGAAACCAAAGUGUUUGGGUUC
rnacentral:rRNA from 1 species